AUUGAACGCUGGCGGCAGGCCUAACACAUGCAAGUCGAGCGAGCGGCGGACGGGUGAGUAAUGUCUGGGAAACUGCCUGAUGGAGGGGGAUAACUACUGGAAACGGUAGCUAAUACCGCAUACCAUCAGAUGUGCCCAGAUGGGAUUAGCUAGUAGGUGGGGUAACGGCUCACCUAGGCGACGAUCCCUAGCUGGUCUGAGAGGAUGACCAGCCACACGGAAAAUGAUACACGGUCCAGCCUCCUACGGGCGGCAUCGGUGGGGAAUAUUGCACAAUGGGCGCAAGCCUGAUGCAGCCAUGCCGCGUGUGUGAAGAAGGCCUGCGGGUUGUAAAGCACUUUCAGCGGGGAUGCGUUACCCGCAGAAGAAGCACCGGCUAACUCCGUGCCAGCAGCCGCGGUAAUUC
rnacentral:rRNA from 1 species